rnacentral:rRNA from 1 species
UUUUCCUACGGGGCGCAGCAGUGAGGAAUAUUGGUCAAUGGGCGAGAGCCUGAACCAGCCAAGUCGCGUGAGGGAAGACGGUCCUAUGGAUUGUAAACCUCUUUUGCCGGGGAGCAAAAAGCGGUACGUGUACCGCAUCGAGAGUACCCGGAGAAAAAGCAUCGGCUAACUCCGUGCCAGCAGCCGCGGUAAUACGGAGGAUGCGCGCGUUAUACGGAUUUAUUGGGUUUAAAGGGUGCGCAGGCGGCGAGUUAAGUCAGCGGUAAGAUUUCGGGGCUCAACACCGACGAGACGUUGAAAC